rnacentral:misc_RNA from 1 species
UCUAAAACCUGGGACCUCUUU